UACGUAGGGCGCAAGCGUUAUCCGGAAUUAUUGGGCGUAAAGCGAGUGCAGGUGGUUUUGUAAGUUGGAUGUGAAAGCCCCGAGCUUAACUUGGGAAGUGCAUUCAAAACUGCAAAACUUGAAUAUUGGAGAGGGUCGUAGAAUUCCUGGUGUAGUGGUGAAAUACGUAGAUAUCAGGAGGAAUACCGGUGGCGAAGGCGGCGACCUGGCCAAAUAUUGACACUCAUACUCGAAAGCGUGGGGAUCAAACAGG
rnacentral:rRNA from 1 species